UCAACCAGUCAAGGGAAGGUCUAGUUAUCAUAAAAAGCGUCUGUUUCUUUUUGAUUAACUACACAUCCGUUUUCAGUUCAUACACUGAGUUACAAUGAGAGGGAAGUCAGGAAAGGAACCACCGCCUAUUUAUCCAGGCGCACGCAAGGAUUGGUGGCCUGCUGAGUGGGAGCCGAGGUCCCGCUUCCCGCAGGUGGCCCAGCAGGCCCAGCAGGAGGGUGCAGUGGCUAGUCGUGUGAGACCCACACCAGAUGAGUCCACACUCUUCCCGACCCUUCAGUCGUCAUCCUUGCUGACCUCCGCCGCAGCCACGUCCCACCCAAGGCGUCACGCGAGCGCCCUGAAGUCCACCACGCCACAUGGACAGCUGCCUCUGGUCAGGAAUGGGGUGGCGCUCCCCGCUUGUGGCCCGUCGAUGGGCCCAGCACCUGGAAGACGCCACCUGGAAGACCUGACGGGUUACGGAGGCAAGAGGCUGACCAGGAGAGAUCAGCUGGAGCAACUGCCUCCUGUAGGCACAGCGGGCAAAGAGCAGAGCAGGCCCAAGCGCCCGAAAACCGGCUGCAAAGGGUCCCGCAAGCCCACUCACAGAGUGAACCUUGGGUAAGCGCCGAGGCGCUGUGUGUCUGUGGGGACUUGGACUCAGACAGGCAGUCAGAGGGUCCAUUUGUCAACUCACAGUCCCCAAUUCACUUACCAUCACUUAGACACACACAUGAUUCUACUAAUAUCAGCACAACAAAUACAGUAGAUCCAAGCGUAACAGAGGAGAGGGCAUUUCAAGCAUCGUAUCAAGAAGCCACAGACGGCAUCGAUGCUACAAGGAUAAGUAUGUGCAUUCUAGGAACACACUGUUCCUCUAGGUUUGGCCAGAGAAAUGAUACGAUAGAAAUGGAAUAGAAUGGUGUGUCGGCGGGGAUUUGGAUGUAGCAGGUAAGGCCUACUCAACAAACUUCCAUAUCAAUCAAUGCUCGGUGUCAGAAAUAGUGCACUGCUUUUAGUAACCUGCUUCUCUUUCACAGCUAAGGGGUCCAUCGAUGGACGAGAUGCAUCUCUCUACUUCCAGUCCCCAUCUACUCAACAUCAACUGGACACACCGGCAAACUUGUCACUACGUAGACCAGCACAAUGAUUUGAAGGACCCUGCACAAGAGAAACAAGAUGGCAUAGAAGGAAAUGUGUGUCAGUGGGGACUUGGGUUUGGACAGUUGAGGAAUCCAUCUGUCCUCUUCCCGUCCCCAAACUCUCCAUCAACUGGACACACAUGCACGCACGCCCAACACCUCAAAAUCGCAGGGCAUCAGAAGACC